rnacentral:lncRNA from 1 species
UUUGUCCUCCUUGUGGUCAGGUGGUUAGGCAGGAUGUUUCUCAUAGCCUGAACCGCUGUGAAAUGUUUCAGUUUGACCAAGGUCUGCAAAAUAGUGGGAAGUUUACAAAAUGAUGCAGUUUGGACUAACAAUAAUUUAGUGAGUUAACUAGGAUAGUAGAUUUCCAGGUAUGAUCUCCAAACUGACAGCAUUAGCACCACCUGGAAACUUAUUAGAAAUGAGAGAUUUCAACGCUACUGUAGACCUACUGAAUCAGACACCCUUGGAAUGUCACGCAGAAAUCUGUAUUUUAACACACCCUCUGGGUGAUCCUGGUGCAGAUUCUGGUGAGAAUUACUGGACUGGGAAAAUGCAGUUAGGAUUGCUAAGACAAUAAUUAAAUCUUUUCAUAAUAAGUUUAAAUGAAACUAGUCAGCACAGUUGUAUGCUUUUCUUUGCCUAAACAGAGACUAGGUGAAGAGUUCAGUAUCACCAUAAUGAGUUAACUAGGCAAGUAUUAUGCUACAAUUAUUAUAUUCAUAGGUCAUGAAAUAAUCUUGGAGCCAGAAAACUAGGGCUGAGAAGCAGCAAGAUGGUGCAAGAAUGACAUCUAUCCACUUCCAAGUUCAAGGGGAACAAAGAUGUAGCCACUGCUGGAGAAGCAGUGUCUUCAGUGAACAUCCAGAUCUCCAUGAUAGCAACAAGGUAUAGUCAUCUUUAGAAAGAAGGUUGUAGAUAUGUGGGUUUUUCUAUUGCUGAGUUAUGACUUCUAAAUGGUAGGAUGAAAAGACUUGGAAAAUUGGUAAUGAGUAGAAAAAUGAGUCAAGUAGGGAAUUUUCAGAGCAUAUUGUGAUGAAAAUAAAAAAGAUGACCUGGAUAGCUUGAGCUUUUUAUGCAAGCUGUAGCAGAGAGGGUAUGAAGCUUAAUCAUAUUAAAUGGGGAGGCAAAAAAUCCAUUUUCACUGUAAUUUAUUUCUUGAGACUUCUUUUUGGUAGGUGUGGACAUGAAGCAGGGGUCUUUGGCAGUGAGCUUUCUAGAAACACUUGAAAGUUUGUAAGCCUGUUCUUCACUCUUACUGAUGGCCAUGGUGGGGCUCAGAAGGGGUUUGUUGAGCACACAAAUCUCUGUGGAUGGGUCCACAGAGAUUCUUUAGAGUCCAGAAUCUACUUCUCAACACCUCCCCUGCUCCCAUCCCAGUGCAAGAAACCACUGUUUCUCAACUUC